GACGAACGCUGGCGGCGUGCUUAACACAUGCAAGUCGAGCGGUAAGGCCCUUUCGGGGGUACGACGAGCGGCGAACGGGUGAGUAACACGUGGGUGACCUGCCCUCAGCUCUGGGAUAAGCCUGGGAAACUGGGUCUAAUACUGGAUAUGACUCCACGGUGCAUGUCGUGGGGUGGAAAGCCUUGUGCGGCUGAGGAUGGGCCCGCGGCCUAUCAGCUUGUUGGUGGGGUGAUGGCCUACCAAGGCGACGACGGGUAGCCGGCCUGAGAGGGCGACCGGCCACACUGGGACUGAGACACGGCCCAGACUCCUACGGGAGGCAGCAGUGGGGAAUCUUGCGCAAUGCGCGAAAGCGUGACGCAGCAACGCCGCGUGGGGAAGAAGCC
rnacentral:rRNA from 1 species